rnacentral:rRNA from 1 species
AUGCAAGUCGAACGCGAACGGCUCCUUCGGGAGCCUAGUAGAGUGGCAAACGGGUGAGUAACGCGUGUGUAACGUACCCUGAUCCUGGGAAUAACCCUCGGAAACGAGGGCUAAUACCGAAUGUGGCGAACGACCGGUUGGUCGCUCGCUAAAGGUGGCCUCUUCUAUGCUGCCGGGUUGGGAUCGGCCCGCGUCCCAUUAGCUAGUUGGUGAGGUAACGGCUCACCAAGGCCACGAUGGGUAGCCGGCCUGAGAGGGUGUACGGCCACACUGGCACUGAGACAAGGGCCAGUCCCCUAUGGGAGGCGCAGGCGGGAAUAGUUCACAAUGGGCGAAAGCCUGAUGACGCGACGCCGCGUGAGCGAAGAAAGACCUUCGGGUUGUAAAGCUCUGUCAGGAGGGAAGAAGGCUCUACGGGUUAAUAGCCCGUGGAAUUGACGGUACCUCCAGAGGAAGCCCCGGUUAAAUACGUGCCAGCAGCCGCGGUAAUACGUAUGGGGCAAGCGUUGUCCGGAUUUACUGGGCGUAAAGGGCGCGUAGGCGGUUUGUAAAGUCGAAGGUGACAUCCUCGGGCUCAAUUCGAGAAUUGCCUUCGAAUACUGGCAAACUAGAGUGGCGGAGAAGGAAAGCGGAACUCUUGGUGUACCGGUGGAAUUGUGUAGAUUUCAAGAGGAACACCGGUGGCGAAGGCGGCUUUCUGGACGCACACUGAACGCUCAAGGCGCGAAAAGCGUGGGUAGCAAACAGGAUUAGACACCCUUGGUAGUCCACGGCAUAAACGAUGGGUACUAGGUGUCGGGGGUAAUCGACCCCUCCGGUGCAGCAGUUAACGCACUAAGUACCCCGCCUGGGGAUUAUGGUCGCAAGGCUGAAACUCAAAGGAAUUGACGGGCCCCGCACAAGCGGUGGAGCAUGUGGUUUAAUUCGACGCAACGCGAAGAACCUUACCUGGGCAUGACAUGCUUGGGACAGCGCUGGAAACAGCGUCUCUCCGUCGGGAGCCCUAGCACAGGUGCAGCAUGGCUGUCAGUCAGCUCGUGUCAUGAGAUGUUGGAUUAAGUCCCGCAACGAGCGCAACCCUCGUUACUAGUUGCCAUCAGUUCGGCUGGGCACUCUAGUGAGACUGCCGGUGAUAAACCGGAGGAAGGUGAGGAUGAUGUCAAGUCAUCAUG